GGCACCUGUGUGGCGUCUAACAAGAAACAGGUUAGCGCGUCAUUAAAAGUAAAAACGGUAAAGUAACUAAGAAUCUUUUGGCUGCGCAUCAGUGGAGACAUUUCUGGAAGACAAACUGUAUAGCUAGUCGCUCUUCGACCUUCUGACAAAACCCGUUUAAAAACAGCUUGUUUUCCAGUGUUGCUGGCAAAAUUAUAAUGUUAUAACGUUAUUCGACGCUACCGAAAGAGGAUGUGAGGAAUUAAAACAAACAAACAAACAAACAAACAAAUAAACCGACUGUCAGGGCAACAUGCAGCGUGCAAUGGGAUAUUAUAUGGAUAAAGACCAGUUGACCACCACAAAAGAAAGGACGAUGGGCUUCGACAUCAAUAUAUAGUGAUCAAAGCUAAGACAUGGCCUGUGGCGGUGCAGGUACAGCAGGACAGGAAAUGCAGCUGACCACACAUAUGAGAUUUCUUCUGCAGAGAGGGAUUUCAUUCGAGGAUCCUGAGCCAGCUCUAAAUGUCAAAACCAGCAAAGGAACCUACCAGAAUGUGUUGAGCUGAGUAACUUGCCACGGGUUCUGCGUUUGCUACCACUACCAUGCACCUGCUUUGGAGGUGUUUUCCUGGCGCUAAAUUUCAGCACCCCUCAAGAGCUGUGAGCGCAUGUGUGACAGGAGCACAGCCCCUCCCUCCUCUAAACAGAGACCUACAGAGAGAAGAUACAGUGGGAAAACAAAGCAGUAUGGUGCACGUCAACCCAGGAGGUUAUGCGGAGCAAAGUACCAGGGAGCCUGACUUGCCAGCAGGUUUCCAUGGAAGGCAGCUGGAAUUCAAAGCUCAAUAAUAGAUACCCAGCAUUACAUGUAAAAUGACUUUAUACAUAACAGACCUCAUUAGGAAAUCUAUAACCUGGGUUUUUCUUACCCUUUGAAAUGUACGUAUCUAAUAAGCAUGGAUGAAGUGCCACUGCACUAGGAAAAAACUGUCUACCCCAAUACUGUAUUUAUGUAGCUGCAUUCAUAAU